rnacentral:rRNA from 1 species
UAGUUGGUAAGGUAACGGCUUACCAAGGCGACGAUCAGUAGCCGACCUGAGAGGGUGAUCGGCCACAUUGGAACUGAGACACGGUCCAAACUCCUACGGGAGGCAGCAGUGGGGAAUAUUGCACAAUGGGCGAAAGCCUGAUGCAGCAACGCCGCGUGAGUGAUGAAGGCAUUCGGGUCGUAAAACUCUGUCCUCAAGGAAGAUAAUGACGGUACUUGAGGAGGAAGCCCCGGCUAACUACGUGCCAGCAGCCGCGGUAAUACGUAGGGGGCUAGCGUUAUCCGGAUUUACUGGGCGUAAAGGGUGCGUAGGCGGUCUUUCAAGUCAGGAGUGAAAGGCUACGGCUCAACCGUAGUAAGCUCUUGAAACUGGGAGACUUGAGUGCAGGAGAGGAGAGUGGAAUUCCUAGUGUAGCGGUGAAAUGCGUAGAUAUUAGGAGGAACACCAGUUGCGAAGGCGGCUCGCUGGACUGUAACUGACGCUGAGGCACGAAAGCGUGGGGAGCAAACAGGAGUAGAUACCCUGGUAGUCCACGCUGUAAACGAUGAGUACUAGGUGUCGGGGGUUACCCCCUUCGGUGCCGCAGCUAACGCAUUAAGGACUCCGCCUGGGAAGUACGCUCUUCAGAGGGAAACUCAAAGGAAUUGACGGGGACCCGCACAAGUAGCGGAGCAUGUGGUUUAAUUCGAAGCAACGCGAAG